UACGUAGGGAGCUAGCGUUGUUCGGAAUUAUUGGGCGUAAAGGGCGUGUAGGCGGCUUCGAUAGUUGGGCGUGAAAUGCCUGGGCUCAACCCAGGAAUUGCGCUCAAUACUGUGAGGCUCGAGUGUGGGAGAGGAUAGUGGAAUUCCCAGUGUAGAGGUGAAAUUCGUAGAUAUUGGGAAGAACACCAGCGGCGAAGGCGGCUAUCUGGACCACAACUGACGCUGAGGCGCGAAAGCGUGGGGAGCAAACAGG
rnacentral:rRNA from 1 species